ACUAUCCUGAUAUUGCAACUUUACAAACCUUAAUCUCUAACUUUAUUCUUGGUCAUCAAAAUAAUCUUAUGUUUUGGUAAAAUGGUCAUUUACUCGUGUAAAAUGUUUCACACUUUUUGGUGUUGGUGUUAUUGAAAUAUGAGUGAAAUAUAUUAUUUAAAAGGAAAAGAGAUUACCUUUCGUUUGAUUUUCUUGUUAGUGGCUAUGAACAGAAAUAUAAUAUAUAUAAAAAAGUUAAAAAAGUUAAAAUAUUUAGGUGAAAAUUUUAAGAACUAAUUUGCAUAUU
rnacentral:lncRNA from 1 species